AUACGGAGGGUGCAAGCGUUGUUCGGAAUUACUGGGCGUAAAGCGCGUGUAGGCGGUCUUUUAAGUCUGGUGUGAAAGCCCGGGGCUCACCCCCGGAAGUGCAUUGGAUACUGGGAGACUAGAGUACCGGAGAGGAAGGUGGAAUUCCUGGUGUAGCGGUGAAAUGCGUAGAUAUCAGGAGGAACACCGGUGGCGAAGGCGACCUUCUGGACGGAUACUGACGCUGAGACGCGAAAGCGUGGGGAGCAAACAGGAUUAGAAACCCCGGUAGUCC
rnacentral:rRNA from 1 species